rnacentral:lncRNA from 1 species
GGGUCGCAAUCCGCUCGGUGCAUGCAACCGAGACUUCCAUUACCGUGGUGGCCGUGGGCAGCAGGGCCACCACAGGCGGCCACAACAGCUCCAUCAGCCACACUUUGUCGAGCCAUUCGACCAGGAUUCUGAACCCGUUGACAUAGGUCUCUUGGCCAGAGGCAUUCGAUACCACGCCCAGACAUUUUUCGAAUUCGAUACCUAGUCGUGGUUCAGUUGGAUGCACGUGGUUCAAGAUUGAAUCGAAUGCCUCUGGCUGGAUGACUGACAGACGUGUCUAUUCCUU